UACGUAGGGGGCAAGCGUUGUCCGGAUUUAUUGGGCGUAAAGAGCGUGUAGGCGGCCAUACAGGUCCGUUGUGAAAACUGGAGGCUUAACCUCCAGACGUCGAUGGAAACCGUAUGGCUAGAGUCCGGAAGAGGAGAGUGGAAUUCCUGGUGUAGCGGUGAAAUGCGCAGAUAUCAGGAAGAACACCAGUGGCGAAGGCGGCCUGCUGGGCAGUAGCUGACACUGAGGCGCGACAGCGUGGGGAGCAAACAGG
rnacentral:rRNA from 1 species